CAUGAAAGAAUUAAAAUAAUUUGAAUUUUUUUUUCUUGAAGCUGGAGAGCCCUCAAAUUUUUUCAUUGGUUGUUUCUCUAUCCCUCUUAAGCAUUCAUGUUAAUCUUGGGUUGAUACACUGAAAUUUUAUGUUUAUUGUGUGGUAGAAUUAAAAUAAUUUGAUUUUGUUUUGCUUGAUGUUGGACAGUGAACCAAUUUUCUCAUUGGUUGUUUUCUCUAUGCCUUCUCAGGCUGCUAAACGAGAUGAAGAUGGGUACUGAGGAAGGUCACUGGAAACCCCACAAAAUAUUUCCUGGUGUGCUCUGAAAAGACAAUGUGAACUGGGUUUCUUGAAGGUGGGGUUUCUAAAGCCCAGAUCCUCAUGGCUCUACUAAGCUUGGCAUUGCAUUUGAUGAUGAAGGAAAAGCUCACAAAGACUACUACUUGGGUUUCAAAUGCUUGGUUAAGAAGCACCUGAGAUGGUGAUGAAGACGAGGAUGCAUAAAGCUAGUAAACGAAGAGGCCCCAUCUGAUUUGUCCUGGAGCAAAGUAGCCCAGUUAAAAGAAAGUCAUGCAGCAAAAGAAACAUAUGUUGGGGCAGGGGAGGGGUAACCUUUUUCUUUUCUUUUUUCUCUGUAGAGAGGAAAUUCAAGCCGUGAGGAAAAUUUUCUUCUGAUAAACUUGUGCAGUGAUGCAAUACUAUUGGCCUUUUUCUGUUGGCA